GAGACAUCCUCAAUAUGUGUUCCUUGCAAAAGGAAACAGCUGCAUCCUGAUGUGAAGGAACCUGACUGGGACUGUCCACUUGGUCUUGUUGUAGCUCCAGCUACACAGUCUGCGAGCACAGGAGUGAGGGACAGGCUUUGAACCUUAGGAAUUCACACUCAGGAUACUCAUUGGAAGGUUUUGGAAUGCUUUGGAGAACAAGAUGUUCUGGGGUACAGCAGAGAAGCUCUUUGUCCUGAGUGCAGCAGUGAGCAGAGAGGGACUGAGUCAUGUGGACCAUGGGCAGGCUCCUGGGACCUGCUUGAAUCCUGAGCAUGGCAACCCUUUGAAACAAGUCCUUCAAAGAUCCUUCCUGCUCACAAUUCACCAGUGGAAAAAUGUUCUAAACCAGCUCUGGAUCAUUUGGUCAUCCCACAUAUAUGGUGGCUAAGGCUCCAGCUCCAAAUUCCUCAUCUCUCAAGGAUAAAAGUGUGAGAGCCAAAAGAAAGAUGAUCAUCAG
rnacentral:lncRNA from 1 species